AUCCAAUUGACGACUUCCAAAUAGGACGAAAUGAGCAUCCUGGAU
rnacentral:hammerhead_ribozyme from 1 species